UACGGGGGGAGCAAGCGUUGUUCGGAUUUACUGGGCGUAAAGGGCGCGUAGGCGGUCAGCACAAGUCAAUUGUGAAAUCUCCGAGCUUAACUCGGAAAGGUCAACUGAAACUGUGCGACUAGAGUGCGGAAGGGGCAACUGGAAUUCUUGGUGUAGCGGUGAAAUGCGUAGAUAUCAAGAGGAACACCUGCGGCGAAGGCGGGUUGCUGGGCCGACACCGACGCUGAGGCGCGAAAGCCAGGGGAGCGAACGGG
rnacentral:rRNA from 1 species